rnacentral:rRNA from 1 species
CCUACGGGAGGCAGCAGUGGGGAAUAUUGGACAAUGGGGGAAACCCUUAUCCAGCGACGCCGCGUGAGGGAAGAAGGUUUUCGGAUUGUAAACCUCUGUCAGUGGGGACGAGAAUGACGGUACCCACGUAGGAAGCGACGGGUAACUACGUGCCAGCAGCCGCGGUAAUAUGUAGGUGGCAAGCGUUGUCCGGAAUUACUGGGUGUAUAGGGGGCGUGGGCGGGAUGUCAAGUCAGAAGUGAAAACUAUGGGCUCAACUCCUGACCUGCUUUUGAAACUGGUAGUCUUGAGUGAAGUAGAGGCAGGCGGAAUUCCUAGUGUAGCGGUGAAAUGCGUAGAUAUUAGGAGGAACACCAGUGGCGAAGGCGGCUUGCUGGGC